UAUCCGUUGGUGAACCAGCGGAGGGAUCAUUACAGGACUCGCAAGACUCCUUCACCCUGUGAACCUCACUACAAGCACGUUGCUUCGGCGGGUGUCCCGGCGGGGGUUUUCCCUCGCCGGGGCGCACAGCCCGCCGGCAGCCUACUAUACUCUGUCUCUUUGCGUUGGCAUCUCGAGAAAAAACAAACAAGUUAAAACUUUCAACAACGGAUCUCUUGGUUCUG
rnacentral:misc_RNA from 1 species